CUUGUACACACCGCCCGUCACACCAUGGGAGUUGGUUUUACCUGAAGACGGUGCGCUAACCGAAAGGGGGCAGCGAGCCUCCACUUGGUCGGGUGCUGUUUUUUACACAUUGUACCGUAGCCGUAGGGAACCUCGCGCGUAGGAGCUCCCCCUU
rnacentral:rRNA from 1 species